rnacentral:tRNA from 1 species
UGGUGUAACGGUUAAGCACUUGGCUGUUAACCAAAAGGUUGGUGGUUCAAACCCACC